rfam:Glomus irregulare strain DAOM-197198 mitochondrion, complete genome.
AACCAAGUAUAACAAAGGGGCUACUAGGGAUGACUAGGCAAUGGAUCGGAAUGAGGUCUAAUCCAAACUGUCGAAUCCGAUCAAGGGUAUGUUAAUCAACCCGGUCUCGACGAUCAAGGCCAAAAGGUGCCUCACUUACCUUGGGAACUGAAACAUCUUAUGUACCAAGAGGAAAGGAAAUCAACCGAGACUCUACAAGUAGUGGCGAGCGAACGUAGACAAGCUAUCUCUAUCAACUUAGACAACCUCUGUUUACGUUUAUGCGUAGCAGCAGGAAAAUGGUAGCCUUCGGACAAAGACAUAAACAAUAGCUUGGAAUAGCUAGCCACAGAUGGUGAUAGCCCAGUGAUGAUAUGACUUUGCUCCCUUUUGGCAGUGAAUUUAAUUCCUUAGAGAGAAUUGGCGGCUUGUCAAGCUGCUUUUAUAAUACCCUGUCUAUUAAGGCAGGAAAGGUGUACCAUCAUCAAAGCUAAGUAUGUUCCAUUGACCGAUAGUGCAGAGUACCGUGAGGGAAUGUUGAAAAAGCAGGUAGUAAACUGGUGAAAAGCCUGAACUAGUGGCUCCAUAAGCAGCUGGAAUCACAACAGCCAUUGACUCCAACUCAAUGUGUGAUGACAGCGUACCUUUUGUAUAAUGGGUGAAUUGCUUGCCCAUGAGGAUUGUGAAAUCCUUUAUCAAACUGACUCAUGACCAGGAAUGGUCGGUAUUAUGAUUAGCUCAUAAUGCUAACGGUGAAACCUAAGGUGAUAUUCUCUAUGGCAAUACCGUGGGAAGUUGAGAAAUCGUAGGAAUAGGUGGACAAUUGUAGUCCAUUAGAGUAAUUCUAAAACAUAUUAAUUAAAUAAGAUUACUCCCUUUUUUUCAACCCUGUAACGACUGAUUCGAAAGAAGAGACUAAUAAAAAUUGGUAACACGUCAGCACUCAAAUAUUCCAAGAAAAUCAUGGUAAAUAAUUCCUAAAAUUUCUUUGAGUUGAAGGUAUAGUCUAAACAGAUAUGAAAAUUUCUGAAUAAUUGCAGCAAGAUGAUGGUGGGUGCAUGGUAAUACACCCUAGCAAAAGCGACCUUAAUUAGCCGGUGAUAGUACCAACCAUCAGACCCGAACCCAGGUGAUCUUGCCAUGGCCAAGUGCUAUUUAAUAAGACUGAACGGGUGUCCUGGACGCCCAGUUGAGGGGUGACCUUCAAUGUAAAUCUGGCUCAUAACGGUGAAGCCUAAGGUCUUAGAGACUAAGGUGAUACCGUGGGAAGUUCUAUAAUCGUAGAAACCUCCUCCUUAGAGAUACUCUUGAUGGAGGACAUAGUCUUUUAUAGAACCCCGUAACGACUGACUGAAAGGGAGGCUUUUAAUCUAAUUAAAGGCAACACGCCAGCACUUCUAGGUUUCAGCCAAUUAUGGAAUUAGCAUAAUAUACUAAGUAGACUAACAAAGCAGGAAGACUAUGAAGAACAAGUUCAAAAUCACUUAGAAGUAAAUAACCUUAUUAUUUUUUGAUAUGAAAUCACCAAACCCACAGCCAGCUCUUUCUUCUAUUCAACGUGAAAUCCUUGUAGGAGGAUUAUUAGGAGAUCUUUCUAUUUACAGAGCUAAAGUAACCCACAAUGCUCGUCUAUACGUGCAACAAGGGAGUGUUCAUAAAGAGUAUUUGAAUCAUCUUUAUUCUGUCUUUCAGAAUCUAUGUUCUUCUGAGCCUAAAUGGAGUUUAUCUUUAGAUAAACGAAGUAAUACAACAUAUGAAACUCUUAGAUUUAAUAGCCGUAGUCUGCCUUGUUUCAAUUACUAUCGUGAUGUCUUUUAUCCUGAGGGUGUUAAAAUAGUUCCAGCUAACAUAGGGGAGUUAUUAACUGCAAGGGGUUUAGCAUACUGGUCGAUGGACGACGGAUAUAAAGACAGAGGCAACUUUAGACUUGCAACUCAAUCCUUCUCCAGAAACGACGUUCUGCUGCUCAUUAAACUCCUUAAGGAUAACUUCUCUUUAGAUUGCAGUCUUAAUACUGUUAAAUCUACCCAAUACAGAAUCUAUGUUAGAGCCAACUCUAUGGUUCAAUUCCGUGCUUUAGUUUCUCCUUAUUUUCAUCCUUCCAUGCUUUACAAAUUACAAUAAGGUCUAUUGGGUAGGGUAAGGGUAGGGUUAGUAUAUUAUCUGAUACCUAAAAUUGGUAAGAAGUUGAAGGUAUAGUCUACUCCAGUACGAAAGUAUUGGGCAAUUAGGUCCGUUGCAAGGGACUCCGAAGAGCUGUGGCAAGGGGUGAAAAGCCAAUCUAACCUGGAGAUAGCUGGUCUUCUGCGAAACCCGUUUUAGCGGGUCGCCCAUUUAUUGAAAUUAAAUUCGUUACUAGACGGUACGGCACUGGAAGCCACGCAGCUUUUGCUGCAUAAUCGGGGGGCUGUCAUGGCUCUAUCGAUGGCUUCUAACCCCGGAAAUGUAUAGUAUACAAUGAUGGGCAAUCAGACGUAUCGUGAUAAGGCGAUUCGUCAAAAGGGCAACAGCCCAGAACAGGUGUGAAGGUCCCUAACAAGCUACUGAGUGAACACAAGGCAGUCCUCUCCAGUGUCUCUCCACAAAGUGGGCUUGGUUUCCAGGCCUAUCCUUUCAUAUUUCAUAAGGAUAACAAUUUGGCUGUAUGCUGGAAUACCCUGAUAAAUGUUAGAUGGUAUUAUCCUUUACCAAUAAUUCUAAUAUAGGGGCAAUCAGCAGGGAAGUUCAAUAUUUUAACCCCUCAACGACCACACGCCAAAACCAAACUACAGGUUACUUAGAAGUCAAUAAGAAAUGCUAUUCAAUCCUAAUUACAUUAGUGGGUUAGUCCAAGCUAAUGGAUCUUUUUUUGUGUCUUCUUAGGUUUUCCUAAGGGAAUUACAUCCUUAACGGAAAACCCGGCAUAGGUAGCCUUCGAGGGACCGGGUUUGAUAAAUACCUGUAAUUUAGUAUGAUAUGGUCUAAACAUGGUUGAAAAAUCAUGAUAUAAUAUUGUGGAAGCAGCCACCUUUUAGCGAUAGCGUAACAGCUCAGUGGUCUGAGCCUCCCUGUAAAAAGGGAAUAUUGCCUGGUGAGGGCGCCAAAAAUGUAACGGGUCUAUAGUAGUUGUCUCUCUGUUCCAGCUUUGGAUAUGGAGGGAGUGGCAGUUUCUUCACUGUCUCACCGAAACCCUGUCCUAGAUGUAAAAUUCUAGGGGUAGCAGAAUACCCAGCAAAUGGAAUGAAGCUUGCUCAUUGAGCCGGUGGACAUAGCUGGGCUAAGAAUGCUGACAUGAGUAGCCUAAAAGGAGGGUAAUUCCCUCUUCGCCGAAAGCAGAAGGGUUUCAUUUGUAAGGUCUAUACCUAGAUGAUUAAAGCAGCGGCCUCUAAGGUUCAGAGUAACAAAUUAGUUCCGAUGAGUAACUCUUCUAUAGGGCAGUAACCUUCCUUAUAAGUUUACCUUCAAGUAAUUAGAGGUAUACUUCAAAGAGUAAGGUUCGGGAAAGAGCCCUACAGAAUCAAUCUUAAAACCGUACCCUAAACCGACACAGGUCUGCAAGUAGAGCAUACUAAGGCGUAGAGAUAAUCGUCUUGAAGGAACUCGGCAAAAUGACCCCGUAACUUCGGGAGAAGGGGUGCCACUAAUAAGUGGCGGCACUAAACAGGGGGGCGCGACUGUUUACUUAAAACACCGGACUCUGCUAACACUAGCGUGGAUGUAUAGAGUCUGAUACCUGCCCGAUGCUAGAUGAUCAACUAAGCCGUUUUAGGAUGGCAAAGGAAGCUCUAGUCAAUGGCGGCUGUAACCUUGACGGUCCUAAGGUAGCGAAAUUCUGCCCUGGCGUGAAUUCUACACGCUUGCAAACCACUAUGUGCUGGAAACCUUUAAAGACUUAAGUACCUAAAUGGUGACAAUCUUGAGUAUAUAACAAUAGGCAAUCAGCAGGAAACAAAAGGCAGGCAAGAAAUUGUUUGCUGAGUAGGAUCCUCAGAGACUUUACGUGGUUCUAGUUGUUAGGCUGUUGUAUCAAUUUCCCUAUGAAACAAUUGGGUUCAAAUCAAGGGUUGUAUGAAUUACAAUAGAAAAUAUGAGACUCCUAACAAAUAGUAAGAUAUAGUCCAAACCCUUACUUACUAGGGUAGAGCGAAAUUCCUUGGCAUUUAAAUGAUGUCCCGCAUGAAAGGUUUAAUAGAGUUAAGCCGAAUGUGUGGGUGACCAUACAUAUUUUAACUUCCCUAUAUGCGAGAAACUCCUAAAGCCUUUAGGUACUCAUUGGAUUUCCCCUUGCCUUAAUGGUUUACGAGGCAAAAAUUCAACUUGAGUUUUUUAAAAAGGAAUUACAUCGAUUUAAAAAAACAAAUAGUAAAAAACCUAAGGAUACAACAAUGGACAAUUCGCAGAAAACCACUAAUCUAAUUACUUAAGAAGCAAACUUUGGAAAGUGGAUAAGAUCAGUGAGGAUUCUCAGAGACUAUAUGGGAAGCACCUAUUGUUCUAUUAAUAGUUGAAGAUAUAGUCCUAUCAUCGGUGAAAGUCUAUGAAUGAAUAGUUAACGAAGCUCCCACUGUCUCCAAGACGAGCUCGGCGAAAUUGAAUUAUCCGUGAAGAUGCGGAUUACCUCCAGCUAGACGAGAAGACCCUUUGAAGCUUGACUGCAACUAGUUAGUGUGUAACCGCUACUAAGGUACAAAGGGAGUCGACUAGACGAGAUACCUUGAUCUUUGUAGUAGGUUUCACUAUAAAUGCUGGCUAGUAGGCAGUUUGUCUGGGGCGGCAAUCCUCACCUAAAGUAACUGAGGAGUCCGAAGGUGUGCUUUGCUAGGUUGGAAACCUCUCUAUGGCUAUGGUGAGCCUAAAUAAGCGCAAUGGUAUAAGCAUGCUUGACUGUGAGACCUACAAGUCUAUCAGGUAAAACCCUUUCUAUUUACCCCUUCAUAUAUCAGGUCUCUCACGGCUAAAGUUAACCUUACCUUCUUUCUUAUUUCAUCACUUGUUAGCCUUGGUUCACAGUGCAGCGCACUUGUGGAACAAGUUUGUUUUGUUUAAAGUAGUAAAGGAAUGGAAGAAGGGGUAAUUAGGUAUAAAGGGUAUAGGUAACUAGGGCAUAGUGACCCGGUGAUACAUCAUGGAAUGUUCAUCGAUCAACGGAUAAAAGCUACUCAAGGGAUAACAGGCUGAUCCUCCACGAGAGUCCAUAUUGACUGGGGGGGUUGGCACCUCGUAUUAACGCACAAUCACACCAAACUUAGAAGUAAGUUAAAAGUCAUUUUAAACAUGGUGUUAAGAUUGUUUUUGCAACAUCGGGGCACCAUAAGGAUAACCUUGUGGAAAGCACAGGCUGUAUGCUGGAAUACCCUAAGAACCUCAGUACCUUUUUAUCGACUUUUUUAGAUCGACGUAGUUCCUUCUUAAAAAAGGGAGGGUAAUAAUCUUGAGGAUUGGGCAAUCGGCAGGGAAGCGUGGAUUAUUGUUCAUCGCCCCUCAAAGACUACACGCCUGCACCCUAAUGGGUGAUGAUAUAGUCUGAACUAACCGGAGACAGUUAGAAUAACACAAAGCGAUGUCGGCUCAUCCUAUCCUAGAGCAGUAUAAGGUUCUAAGGGUUCGGCUGUUCGCCGAGUAAAAGGGUACGUGAGCUGGGUUAAGUACGACGCGAGUCAGUACGGCUUCUAUCUACUGGAGGGAGUUGGAAGUAAGGAGGAAGCUAUUUUUAGUACGCGAGGACUUAAAUGGAGUGACCUCUGGUUUACCAGUUAUCAACAGCUAAUAAAGCUAUGGUAUGGCUGGAAAGCUACGUCACGAAUAGAUAACUGCUGAAACCAUAUCAAGCAGGAAACUACUCCUCUAUACUUCCUUUGAAACUUAGGGUAGACCACCCUAUUGAUAGGGCCUGGGUGUAAUAGCAGUAAUGCUUUUAGCCUCGGGUUACUAAUUGUUAAGCAACUUGGUUUU